GUCAGUGUGUACCGCUGGCCCUGAACACCUCUACAGCAUCCUGCAGAGCAGAGCCUCAGCCGUGCUUGGCUCCGGUUCUGCUCUUAAAAACAUCCUUUAGCCAGGAGCUUUGCAAGCGGAAACGCUCGUGCAUUGGUAACAGAUGUUUGCUAAGUGUGUACUGUGCCUUAUGCAGAGAUACAGGAGGGAGAUGAUUGAUGGGGGAAUGGGCUGUUUGCAGCGAGAACGUGCUGGAAAUGUUAUCGGUGGGUUCACAACCUAGGGUGGACGCUGGCCAGCUGGAUGCAUGACUCUCCUCUUCUCAGUGAGAGGUUUUAAAUACAGAUGUGUCUGGAUGCAGCGAGCAUGAGGACGGUGUGGGAGACAGUGUGAGACCUGGGAGAGCACGCCUGGGAAGUCCAAGGUGCUGCCAGGCUUUAAUGAACUAUUCAUCAAGUGCUUUGAGAUCUUUUGAUGGAAGCGGUCCAGGCAAGUGCAUGAUGCUCACCGCACAGCGCCAGGGUGACAUCCAGCCAUUUACUGAUUGCCUUCAUCUGCAGUGAGUGGCCCCUUUCUCUGGGUGGGGGAGUCCGGCAGCAAAAACCCUGCUGCAGACUUAACGCGUGGAGAAAUAGGAAGUUGCAAUUACGACAAGCUCCUCUUUUGAAAUGUUUGAAUUGGCUGAACUGUGGAAAGGAGAGGCGGGUUAGGUUUGGGGGGCUGUUUUGUGGGGCGUGGGGUUUUGUUUUUGUUUGAAGUAGGGGUUGCCUUUUGUUCUCGCCGUCAGUCUGGUGCACAGAAUAGGCUGUUUUUCCCAAACUAGUCGGAGUCUGUUGCUCUGGGUUGGUCGGAGCUGAGCUUUUGUGUGCAAGGCUGUCUUCUGUGCAGCCCUUGUAAUUUUACCUCUGUAAUAAACCUCUGUGCAUAGUGGGACUCAAGUACAUCUGCUCUGCCAAUAAAUCCCGUGGCCUCA